rnacentral:rRNA from 1 species
CGUAGGGUGCGAGCGUUAAUCGGAAUUACUGGGCGUAAAGCGUGCGCAGGCGGUUAUAUAAGACAGAUGUGAAAUCCCCGGGCUCAACCUGGGACCUGCAUUUGUGACUGUAUAGCUAGAGUACGGUAGAGGGGGAUGGAAUUCCGCGUGUAGCAGUGAAAUGCGUAGAUAUGCGGAGGAACACCGAUGGCGAAGGCAAUCCCCUGGACCUGUACUGACGCUCAUGCACGAAAGCGUGGGGGAGCAAACAGGAUUAGAUACCCUGGUAGUCCACGCCCUAAACGAUGUCAACUGGUUGUUGGGUCUUCACUGACUCAGUAACGAAGCUAACGCGUGAAGUUGACCGCCUGGGGAGUACGGCCGCAAGGUUG